rnacentral:rRNA from 1 species
GACGAACGCUGGCGGCGUGCUUAACACAUGCAAGUCGAACGGAAAGGCCCUGCUUUUGUGGGGUGCUCGAGUGGCGAACGGGUGAGUAACACGUGAGUAACCUGCCCUUGACUUUGGGAUAACUUCAGGAAACUGGGGCUAAUACCGGAUAGGAGCUCCUGCUGCAUGGUGGGGGUUGGAAAGUUUCGGCGGUUGGGGUUGGACUCGCGGCUUAUCAGCUUGUUGGUGGGGUAGUGGCUUACCAAGGCUUUGACGGGUAGCCGGCCUGAGAGGGUGACCGGCCACAUUGGGACUGGGGUGCGGCCCAGACUCCUACGGGAGGCAGCAGUGGGGAAUAUUGCACAAUGGGCGGAAUCCUGAUGCAGCAACGCCGCGUGCGGGAUGACGGCCUUCGGGUUGUAAACCGCUUUCGCCUGUAACGAAGCGUGAGUGACGGUAAUGGGUAAAGAAGCACCGGCUAACUACGUG